rnacentral:rRNA from 1 species
AGUCGAACGGUGAAGGAGAGCUUGCUCUUUGGAUCAGUGGCGAACGGGUGAGUAACACGUGAGCAAUCUGCCCCUGACUCUGGGAUAACAGUUGGAAACAGCUGCUAAUACCGGAUACGAGACGUGACCGCAUGGUCGACGUUUGGAAAGAAUUUCGGUCAGGGAUGAGCUCGCGGCCUAUCAGCUUGUUGGUGAGGUAAUGGCUCACCAAGGCGUCGACGGGUAGCCGGCCUGAGAGGGUGACCGGCCACACUGGGACUGAGACACGGCCCAGACUCCUACGGGAGGCAGCAGUGGGGAAUAUUGCACAAUGGGCGAAAGCCUGAUGCAGCAACGCCGCGUGAGGGACGACGGCCUUCGGGUUGUAAACCUCUUUUAGCAGGGAAGAAGCGAAAGUGACGGUACCUGCAGAAAAAGCGCCGGCUAACUACGUGCCAGCAGCCGCGGUAAUACGUAGGGCGCAAGCGUUAUCCGGAAUUAUUGGGCGUAAAGAGCUCGUAGGCGGUUUGUCGCGUCUGCUGUGAAAACUGGAGGCUCAACCUCCAGCCUGCAGUGGGUACGGGCAGACUAGAGUGCGGUAGGGGAGAUUGGAAUUCCUGGUGUAGCGGUGGAAUGCGCAGAUAUCAGGAGGAACACCGAUGGCGAAGGCAGAUCUCUGGGCCGUAACUGACGCUGAGGAGCGAAAGGGUGGGGAGCAAACAGGCUUAGAUACCCUGGUAGUCCACCCCGUAAACGUUGGGAACUAGUUGUGGGGUCCAUUCCACGGAUUCCGUGACGCAGCUAACGCAUUAAGUUCCCCGCCUGGGGAGUACGGCCGCAAGGCUAAAACUCAAAGGAAUUGACGGGGACCCGCACAAGCGGCGGAGCAUGCGGAUUAAUUCGAUGCAACGCGAAGAACCUUACCAAGGCUUGACAUAUACGAGAACGGGCUAGAAAUAGUCAACUCUUUGGACACUCGUAAACAGGUGGUGCAUGGUUGUCGUCAGCUCGUGUCGUGAGAUGUUGGGUUAAGUCCCGCAACGAGCGCAACCCUCGUUCUAUGUUGCCAGCACGUAAUGGUGGGAACUCAUGGGAUACUGCCGGGGUCAACUCGGAGGAAGGUGGGGAUGACGUCAAAUCAUCAUGCCCCUUAUGUCUUGGGCUUCACGCAUGCUACAAUGGCCGGUACAAAGGGCUGCAAUACCGUAAGGUGGAGCGAAUCCCAAAAAGCCGGUCCCAGUUCGGAUUGAGGUCUGCAACUCGACCUCAUGAAGUCGGAGUCGCUAGUAAUCGCAGAUCAGCAACGCUGCGGUGAAUACGUUCCCGGGUCUUGUACACACCGCCCGUCAAGUCAUGAAAGUCGGUAACACCUGAAGCCGGUGGCCCAACCCUUGUGGAGGGAGCC